UCCUACGGGGGAGGCAGCAGUAGGGAAUUUUCCACAAUGGACGAAAGUCUGAUGGAGCAACGCCGCGUGAACGAUGAAGGUCUUCGGAUUGUAAAGUUCUGUUGUCAGGGACGAACACGUACCGUUCGAACAGGGCGGUACCUUGACGGUACCUGACGAGAAAGCCACGGCUAACUACGUGCCAGCAGCCGCGGUAAUACGUAGGUGGCAAGCGUUGUCCGGAUUUAUUGGGCGUAAAGCGCGCGCAGGCGGCUAUGUAAGUCUGGUGUUAAAGCCCGGGGCUCAACCCCGGUUCGCAUCGGAAACUGUGUAGCUUGAGUGCAGAAGAGGAAAGCGGUAUUCCACGUGUAGCGGUGAAAUGCGUAGAGAUGUGGAGGAACACCAGUGGCGAAGGCGGCUUUCUGGUCUGUAACUGACGCUGAGGCGCGAAAGCCUUCC
rnacentral:rRNA from 1 species